ACAAGAAAGUAUGAUGGUAUAAUAAAUUAAAAUAAAUUGUCAUUUCUUACAUUUAACAAUGUUACAAAUCAUGAAAUCAAUGUCACUAAGUUUAUACAAUUAUGAUACUAUCUAAAAUAACAAUAAUGUGCCCUAACUAUCAAUGUAUUUCAACUAACACCCAACAUGCAUGUGACAUCUCUAGUCUGUUUGCUUGGUUCAACCAUCCUGGAUGCAAAACCAAUCACAUUGAAACAAGAUGAACCAUCGCAUGUGUAGUACAUAAAGGGCUUUCUUAGCAUAAUGUGAACACAGGUACACUUGUACCUGAAGAAGAAAAAAAAUGUCAAAUAAACGGUUCAAAUAUUCAUUAAAUCAAGUUUGCCUAGGCUUCGGUCUCUUUCAAAAAAAGAUUCAUUAAAUCAAAAUGAAGUAUAAAAAGGCUUAUUGUACAAACAGGGCUAGACCUAUAGGGGUAAGCACAAAGCAUGCAUUUUGUAAGUAAUAAGGCAUUUGAAAUCACCAAUCAUCUCUUGAAACACAAUACAACCAUAUUGCAAUGAAAUUCCACUCCAAAUCAAAAUAAGUUGGCUCAUAGCCUCACCUUGGAUACAUAAUCAUAUUGAUCCAGCCUCAUGCAUAACCUGUGGAAAUUCAUUUUAAGAUAAGCGUAAAUGAAAUAGUGCAAUUAAACAUUAAAUAAUAAUCGCAUUGCUCAAAACAUCCCUUGUACCUAAAUAAUUAACAGUGACGAUCGCAUUGACUGUAAAUAAUAAUCACAUUAGUCAAAAGUUCUAAGAUUUGACCGGUCGUAGAUUAUUUGAACCUGCAAACAACCAUGAUAGGUUACCAAGCCAGAGCCACAUGUAUCCAUCCCAUAUUCACAUAAAGUUAUCUAAUUCAUUAUUGACAUAGUCUAUUGUGCCUAGAGCCAUUAUACUUUAACUGGAAAUUUGUCAAUUCUUUUUAUUACAACGUUGUACUUUCAAGCAGCUAUUAGAACAUUGCACUUAAAAAAAUAUACCUUCACAUUGCAGAAUUCUAAAAUAUUGGUCUGCAAACCUAUAUAAUGGAAUCAGAUUACCAUCCUUUGCAGUUUUCUUUAUAUUGUUCAAAUGGUUGACUGCCAAAACAAUAUCAAUAUGUAAUCAAUACGUAAUCAAAUUGAGUAAAUUAUAGGACUAUCUAAAGUAAUUAUUUUAAUGUAUAAGUGAAAUGAUGUAAUAUAACAACUAUUUAACAUUAGCAAAGCCAUGCAAAUUGUGUAACAAUAAAAACAUCUCUAGAAUAGAUCAUGAACGCUCACUGUUCAACUUUCCAGAAGAUCUCAGAGUAUGCACAUGUUUCAUUGGGAGAUGAAACAACCAUCUCUUUAAGAUCAUUAAAAAGUUCAGAAGGCUAUGAAGCUUUCUUAUCUGGAAGAUAUUAAAAGAAGAAUCAAGAACGUGCCAUCACAAUUUAAGAACAAAAAACAGGAAAUAUGAUCCUUUAAGUUAACUUAAAUAAAAAUCAAAGAUCUGUAUAAUAUAUUAUAGAUAUAAAGUAAGAACAUAAGAUACCUGUAGUUAGCAUUCACUAUGAUGAAUCAUGUAAGAUCCGAGCUCGUGGUUGCCCUGGAAUGAUAGAAACCCUGGGAAUGAUUCCUAAGAUGAAUCACAUGAAAACACAUCUUAAAAAUUUUCAUCUUUCUGUCUAAACAAAUAAACAUGCAGCAACAUCCAUAAGGCAUUAAGCCACAGUAAAUAGAGAGGAUAACAGAGGCAUCGUGAGUGAGAUAUAUUGACUUCUAAGUGGGGAUAGACCGAAAAAUGGUAUCAAAAUAGCACCUGUAGUUAGGAUAUACUCCCAGGACCACAAUAACAACAAAACUUGUACAUGAGAAAUAUGUUACCAGAAGUUUAGACUAAAAGUGGCCAAUUUAUUUUUUGGUAGUGAGAGGCGGCGAGUGGUAGUGGACAUUUUUCUGGUUUUUCCGAUGGAAACAACUGACUUCAGAUUUAAGAUGACUUUUAGCAAGAGGAUUUCAGACGUUCAACAAAAGAAUACAAAAAAAAAAGGAACUGGAUGAGUAUCGUAAGGGAAGAGAUCGACGUAGAGGAAAGAGAUCGGUGUUGAAGGAUUAGAUCGACAGAUGAAGAUCGACGACGAUGCAGGUGAACCUUGAAGGCGGGAGAAAAGAAAAGAUCGGUGAUUUCAUUAUACGUGGUCUUAGAUCUAUGCUUCGUGGUGUUCCGAUGGUGACAGCGAUAGAGAUCGGAACCUAAAUACAAAAAUGAAGAAGGAUGCAUUUAGUGGUUUCUCAUGUACUUUGUAUUACAGUGAUGAAGCUUAAUGUUGUCUAGAAACCUAGCAAAGAAGAUGGUGGGUCGUCAUCGUUAUUGAGAGAUGCCAUUAGGAUGUGGCUAGAAGAAAAAAAUAGAAAUUGUCGGUUGAUGGGGGUUUGAUCGCCGUUGGGUUUCACGUUUCACGCUAUAUACACCACAAAGAUUGCCAUCAAAAUCCAGAGAAAGCGAGAUAGAAAGAAGGUUUAGUGAGAGAGACCUUUGUGGUGAAGGAUCCAAUAAGGUCUUCCUGUGAAUAUUCAGGCGAUUGCAAGUGUUCAGAUCUGUAAAAAACUAAAUAUAACCACAAAUCAAACUCAUGAAAAACAAUAAUAUAAAGAAAAACUCAUAGCAAGCAUAUGGGAGAUGAUCUGAUGGUUUACGGUUGUCACCAGUUCAUGGUGGUGGGAGGUUUGAAAGCUAGGGUUUUGUGGGAGAGAGAGAAUGUGAAAAGAAGAUUUCAAAAAAAAUUUGAAUGAUACCUGGAAGAAUGCCACCUAAAGUUCCCCAGGUGAUUCAUCCGUGUGAGAUGUUAGAAAGAGUAAAAGAAGUUUUAUUGGGUUGUAUGUAAUGUCUAAAUACUUGUACAUAUUAAACACUUUAUUGUGAUU
rnacentral:lncRNA from 1 species